rnacentral:rRNA from 1 species
AGUGAACGCUGGCGGUAGGCCUAACACAUGCAAGUCGAACGGCAGCACAGAGGAGCUUGCUCCUUGGGUGGCGAGUGGCGGACGGGUGAGGAAUACAUCGGAAUCUACUCUGUCGUGGGGGAUAACGUAGGGAAACUUACGCUAAUACCGCAUACGACCUACGGGUGAAAGCAGGGGACCUUCGGGCCUUGCGCGAUUGAAUGAGCCGAUGUCGGAUUAGCUAGUUGGCGGGGUAAAGGCCCACCAAGGCGACGAUCCGUAGCUGGUCUGAGAGGAUGAUCAGCCACACUGGAACUGAGACACGGUCCAGACUCCUACGGGGGGCAGCAGUGGGGAAUAUUGGACAAUGGGCGCAAGCCUGAUCCAGCCAUACCACGUGGGUGAAGAAGGCCUUCGGGUUGUAAAGCCCUUUUGUUGGGAAAGAAAUCCAGCUGGCUAAUACCCGGUUGGGAUGACGGUACCCAAAGAAUAAGCACCGGCUAACUUCGUGCCAGCAGCCGCCGUAA